ACAAAAUUUGGAAACAAAACGCGGAUCCCAGCAGAUGCGUUUAUGCGCUUGGCAUUGUCGCCAUAAAUGCGUAUUGUGAUUGAAUACCCAAGGAUGAGUCUUCCCGUAAUCCAGAGAAAUUAUCCUUGUCAAGGAUUCUUCAGCGAGUGGCGACUCUCGGAUUUGCACAAUUCCAUAGUCGAGUAACGGUUCGUAAUGAUAAAAAUUGGCCGGAUGCGCAUUCACCACGUCACCGAGGAACGUGCUGCCGCUUCUCCAACUUGUUAGAAUUAUGCUUCUCAUGGGUCUACCGCCCUUCUCCAUCACCAGAUCUUCAAGUUUGCUAUCAAAACAGGUAAAAAGUUAAACGUUCUGAUUGUCAACGGUACGAACUACAUUCCGGCGUGGCUUACCUCACAUUUAUUCCAUAUCUUCCGUUUGGAUACUCAUAAUUUUCCAUUUCCUUUUUAAUCGCCUUCCUCUCUUGAUCGACCACCUCCUGAAUUUCGGUGAUCGUGGCAUUGUCCGUGGAUCCCGUAAUAUAUGCCUAAAAAACAAGUUGAGACCGAUUACUAAACGGGAAAUUAUCACUUACUAUCUGUUAGCAAAAUUACAUAUAAAUGCAGUGUUAGAAGAUACUUUAUUUUUGGAACGUAUGCAGUAUACAUGUCCUAAAUAAGUAAACAGAAAAAGUUCACAUUUUUUUUUAAUUUAAUUACAUAAAAGCAAAUUUCUACAGCAGGCAGUUUAAUUACUCUACUAACGAAGAUAAACUUGAAAACUUUAUAUAAGCGUUAUUUUAUUUUAAAACAAUAUUUUUAUAUUUUCAUCUUUUUAUACGUACAUUUUAUGUAUACAAAAAAAUAAAAUGUACGUAAUAAAGAUGAAUAUUGUUCAUAAAUAAGCCAUGGAUAUUUUUAAUUCAUAAUCCACGAACAGAGGAAAUGCGUCAGUGAAAAGCUAAAAUAAGUAGAAACAUAUAUACAAUGAGUAGGCGCUUUGCGAAGUAAUAAUUAUUCAUCAAAGCUUAGUAUAAAGCAUCAUACAGCAAAGGAAAAUAAAGUCUCGAGUUAAAACGCAAA
rnacentral:lncRNA from 13 species